rnacentral:rRNA from 1 species
AUUGAACGCUAGCGGGAUGCUUUACACAUGCCAGUCGAACGGCAGCGCGGACUUCGGUCUGGCGGCGAGUGGCGAACGGGUGAGUAAUGUAUCGGAACGUGCCCAGUAGCGGGGGAUAACUACGCGAAAGCGUAGCUAAUACCGCAUACGCCCUACGGGGGAAAGCAGGGGAUCGUAAGACCUUGCACUAUUGGAGCGGCCGAUAUCGGAUUAGCUAGUUGGCGUGGUAACGGCUCACCAAGGCGACGAUCCGUAGCUGGUUUGAGAGGACGACCAGCCACACUGGGACUGAGACACGGCCCAGACUCCUACGGGAGGCAGCAGUGGGGAAUUUUGGACAAUGGGGGCAACCCUGAUCCAGCCAUCCCGCGUGUGCGAUGAAGGCCUUCGGGUUGUAAAGCACUUUUGGCAGGAAAGAAACGUCGCGGGCUAAUACCCCGUGGAACUGACGGUACCUGCAGAAUAAGCACCGGCUAACUACGUG